GAUAAACGCUAGCGGCAGGCUUAACACAUACAAGUCGAGGGGCAGCAUAGAUUGUAGCAAUACAAUUGGUGGCGACCGGCGCACGGGUGCGUAACGCGUAUGCAACCUACCCGUCACAGGGGGAUAAUCCGGAGAAAUCUGGUCUAAUACCCCAUAACAUAUGGAUCGGCAUCGGUUCAUGUUGAAAUUUUCGGAGGUGACGGAUGGGCAUGCGUAGCAUUAGCUUGUUGGUGAGGUAACGGCUCACCAAGGCGACGAUGCUUAGGGGGACUGAGAGGUUUUCCCCCCACACUGGUACUGAGACACGGACCAGACUCCUACGGGAGGCAGCAGUGAGGAAUAUUGGUCAAUGGGCGCAAGCCUGAACCAGCCAGGCCGCGUGCAGGAUGACGGCUCUAUGAGUUGUAAACUGCUUUUGUACGAGGGUAAAGUGGGUUACGUGUAACCUUUUGAAAGUAUCGUACGAAUAAGGAUCGGCUAACUCCGUGCCAGCAGCCGCCGUAA
rnacentral:rRNA from 1 species